AAGCAAUAUGUGCGUGAACCAAUUGACGAAGAGCAACGUUUGAUAUUAACUAUAAGGUACAAAAAUAUUUGAUUUUAAAUGACAUAUAAUAAAUGAAAUUUGACUUUACACACCAAAGUGAUUGUUACAUUUCUUUUAAUGCUUACAGAUAUCUUGCUUCAGGAGAUAGUAUGACAUCUCUAUCAUAUCAAUUUAGUAUCUUUGAGUAGCAUUGUAAAUAUCAUACGCGAAACAUGUUUAACAAUAUGGAACCGUUUAUGUCCUAUAGUACUUCCGAAAUGUGACAUGGAAGAUUGGAAAGAAAUUGCAAAUGACUUUGAAAACAAAUGGAACUUCCCUCACUGCAUAGGUGCUAUAGAUGGGAAACAUGUUGUCAUUCAAUGCCCUAACAACGCAGGAUCUGAGUAUUAUAAUUAUAAAAAUAGUCACAGUAUUAUUUUACUUGUAGUGUGUGAUGCUAAUUAUAUAAUACGUGCUGUUGACAUUGGUGCUCCUGGAAGGCAGGGUGAUGCAGGUGUUUUUAAAAAUAGCAUGAUAGGCCAGUUAUUUGACAGAAAGGAAUUCAAUCUUCCAUUGCCUGAACCAUUAUAUGAAAAUGGUCCAAUCUUGCCCUAUGUAAUGGUAGGAGAUGAAGCGUUUCCGACCGUCGUGUCCGAAGGUGAUUGUUGGGCACCAAACUUUUUAAUUCGUAACGUCGGGCAAAAUCAGAAAGAAGUAUUGAUGCUCGAUUUCCAACUCGCGCGUUGCGUUAGUCCCGUCUGUGAUCUGUCGUUCCUGCUUUAUUCUUGCACCCUCAAGUCAUUCCGUGAUCAGUAUUUUGAUAAUAUACUGAAGCUCUACCACUCCGAAUUGAGCGACGCUAUUAAAUUACUCGGAUCUGAUCCGGAGAGACUUUAUCCGUUGGAUUUGUUCAUGAAAGAGGUAAAGGAUCACUUCAUUUUUGGACUAGUAUUUCCGUUAACCGAUUACAUGAUGCAGCCAUAUACAGCCAAAAGCGGAAUGACAUUAGAAAAACGUAUUUAUAAUUAUCGUUUAUCUCGAGUACGAAGAACGGUCGAGAAUGUUUUUGGCAUUAUGGCUAGUCAAUGGCGACUUUUAAGACGACCAAUUUUAGCAAAAGUUACAACUGCAACAAAAAUGGUUCAAGCAAUCGUUUGCCUUCACAAUUGGUUGAGAAAACAUGAACAAGAAACUUAUGUAACACAGGAGCUUGCAGAUUGGCCUUUAGCAGACGGAAACAUUCGAGAUGGAUCUUGGAGGAAAACUCUGAACGAUAAUUGUGCUUUCACAAACAUUAAACCUACUCAACCAAGAGCGUACUCAUUACGUGCAGCUAAUAUUCGUGAGGAAUUCUGCAUGUAUUUUAAUGAAGAGGGAGAAGUUGGUUGGCAAAAUAUUCAAAUUUAUAAGUGA